GCCCGGAUGGUGGAAUAGGUAGACACAGGGGACUUAAAAUCCCCCGGCUUCGGCUGUGCCGGUUCAACUCCGGCUCCGGGUACCA
rnacentral:tRNA from 1 species